UACGGGGGGGGCAAGCGUUGUUCGGAAUUACUGGGCGUAAAGGGCUCGUAGGCGGCCCUCUCAGUCGGAUGUGAAAUCCCCAGGCUUAACCUGGGAAUGGCAUCCGAUACUGGAGGGCUUGAAUUCGGGAGAGGGAUGCAGAAUUCCAGGUGUAGCGGUGAAAUGCGUAGAUAUCUGGAGGAAUACCGGUGGCGGAGGCGGCAUCCUGGACCGAGAUUGACGCUGAGGAGCGAAAGCUAGGGGAGCAAACGGG
rnacentral:rRNA from 1 species